rnacentral:rRNA from 1 species
GGUUAAGCGACUAAGCGUACACGGUGGAUGCCCUGGCAGUCAGAGGCGAUGAAGGACGUGCUAAUCUGCGAUAAGCGUCGGUAAGGUGAUAUGAACCGUUAUAACCGGCGAUUUCCGAAUGGGGAAACCCAGUGUGUUUCGACACACUAUCAUUAACUGAAUCCAUAGGUUAAUGAGGCGAACCGGGGGAACUGAAACAUCUAAGUACCCCGAGGAAAAGAAAUCAACCGAGAUUCCCCCAGUAGCGGCGAGCGAACGGGGAGCAGCCCAGAGCCUGAAUCAGUGUGUGUGUUAGUGGAAGCGUCUGGAAAGGCGCGCGAUACAGGGUGACAGCCCCGUACACAAAAAUGCACAUGCUGUGAGCUCGAUGAGUAGGGCGGGACACGUGGUAUCCUGUCUGAAUAUGGGGGGACCAUCCUCCAAGGCUAAAUACUCCUGACUGACCGAUAGUGAACCAGUACCGUGAGGGAAAGGCGAAAAGAACCCCGGCGAGGGGAGUGAAAAAGAACCUGAAACCGUGUACGUACAAGCAGUGGGAGCACGCUUAGGCGUGUGACUGCGUACCUUUUGUAUAAUGGGUCAGCGACUUAUAUUCUGUAGCAAGGUUAACCGAAUAGGGGAGCCGAA